rnacentral:rRNA from 1 species
GCUCAGAUUGAACGCUGGCGGCAUGCCUUACACAUGCAAGUCGAACGGUAACGCGGGGCAACCUGGCGACGAGUGGCGAACGGGUGAGUAAUAUAUCGGAACGUGCCCAGUAGUGGGGGAUAGCCCGGCGAAAGCCGGAUUAAUACCGCAUACGACCUACGGGUGAAAGGGGGGGAUCGCAAGACCUCUCGCUAUUGGAGCGGCCGAUAUCAGAUUAGGUAGUUGGUGGGGUAAAGGCCCACCAAGCCGACGAUCUGUAGCUGGUCUGAGAGGACGACCAGCCACACUGGGACUGAGACACGGCCCAGACUCCUACGGGAGGCAGCAGUGGGGAAUUUUGGACAAUGGGCGCAAGCCUGAUCCAGCCAUGCCGCGUGCGGGAAGAAGGCCUUCGGGUUGUAAACCGCUUUUGUCAGGGAAGAAAUCUUUUGGGUUAAUACCUCGGAAGGAUGACGGUACCUGAAGAAUAAGCACCGGCUAACUACGUGCCAGCAGCCGCGGUAAUACGUAGGGUGCAAGCGUUAAUCGGAAUUACUGGGCGUAAAGCGUGCGCAGGCGGUUCUAUAAGACAGAUGUGAAAUCCCCGGGCUCAACCUGGGAACUGCAUUUGUGACUGUAGAGCUGGAGUGCGGCAGAGGGGGAUGGAAUUCCGCGUGUAGCAGUGAAAUGCGUAGAUAUGCGGAGGAGCACCGAUGGCGAAGGCAAUCCCCUGGGCCUGCACUGACGCUCAUGCACGAAAGCGUGGGGAGCAAACAGGAUUAGAUACCCUGGUAGUCCACGCCCUAAACGAUGUCAACUGGUUGUUGGGAAGGUUCCUUCUCAGUAACGUAGCUAACGCGUGAAGUUGACCGCCUGGGGAGUACGGCCGCAAGGUUAAACUCAAAG